rnacentral:tRNA from 1 species
GGUCCUGUGGCCCAAUGGAUAAGGCGCUUGCUUAAGGAGCAAGAGAUUCCAGGUUCGAUCUCUGGCAGGAUCG